rnacentral:rRNA from 1 species
GUGGGGAAUCUUGCGCAAUGGGCGAAAGCCUGACGCAGCCAUGCCGCGUGAAUGAUGAAGGUCUUAGGAUUGUAAAAUUCUUUCACCGGGGACGAUAAUGACGGUACCCGGAGAAGAAGCCCCGGCUAACUUCGUGCCAGCAGCCGCGGUAAUACGAAGGGGGCUAGCGUUGCUCGGAAUUACUGGGCGUAAAGGGCGCGUAGGCGGACAGUUUAGUCAGAGGUGAAAGCCCAGGGCUCAACCUUGGAAUUGCCUUUGAUACUGGCUGUCUUGAGUACGGGAGAGGUGAGUGGAACUGCGAGUGUAGAGGUGAAAUUCGUAGAUAUUCGCAAGAACACCAGUGGCGAAGGCGGCUCACUGGCCCGGUACUGACGCUGAGGUGCGAAAGCGUGGGGAGCAAACAGGAUUAGAUACCCGAGUAGUCC